GAGUCUGAUCAUGGCUCAGAUUGAACGCUGGCGGCAGGCCUAACACAUGCAAGUCGAACGGUAACAGGAAACAGCUUGCUGUUUCGCUGACGAGUGGCGGACGGGUGAGUAAUGUCUGGGAAACUGCCUGAUGGAGGGGGAUAACUACUGGAAACGGUAGCUAAUACCGCAUAACGUCGCAAGACCAAAGAGGGGGACCUUCGGGCCUCUUGCCAUCAGAUGUGCCCAGAUGGGAUUAGCUAGUAGGUGGGGUAACGGCUCACCUAGGCGACGAUCCCUAGCUGGUCUGAGAGGAUGACCAGCCACACUGGAACUGAGACACGGUCCAGACUCCUACGGGAGGCAGCAGUGGGGAAUAUUGCACAAUGGGCGCAAGCCUGAUGCAGCCAUGCCGCGUGUAUGAAGAAGGCCUUCGGGUUGUAAAGUACUUUCAGCGGGGAGGAAGGGAGUAAAGUUAAUACCUUUGCUCAUUGACGUUACCCGCAGAAGAAGCACCGGCUAACUCCGUGCCAGCAGCCGCGGUAAUACGGAGGGUGCAAGCGUUAAUCGGAAUUACUGGGCGUAAAGCGCACGCAGGCGGUUUGUUAAGUCAGAUGUGAAAUCCCCGGGCUCAACCUGGGAACUGCAUCUGAUACUGGCAAGCUUGAGUCUCGUAGAGGGGGGUAGAAUUCCAGGUGUAGCGGUGAAAUGCGUAGAGAUCUGGAGGAAUACCGGUGGCGAAGGCGGCCCCCUGGACGAAGACUGACGCUCAGGUGCGAAAGCGUGGGGAGCAAACAGGAUUAGAUACCCUGGUAGUCCACGCCGUAAACGAUGUCGACUUGGAGGUUGUGCCCUUGAGGCGUGGCUUCCGGAGCUAACGCGUUAAGUCGACCGCCUGGGGAGUACGGCCGCAAGGUUAAAACUCAAAUGAAUUGACGGGGGCCCGCACAAGCGGUGGAGCAUGUGGUUUAAUUCGAUGCAACGCGAAGAACCUUACCUGGUCUUGACAUCCACGGAAGUUUUCAGAGAUGAGAAUGUGCCUUCGGGAACCGUGAGACAGGUGCUGCAUGGCUGUCGUCAGCUCGUGUUGUGAAAUGUUGGGUUAAGUCCCGCAACGAGCGCAACCCUUAUCCUUUGUUGCCAGCGGUCCGGCCGGGAACUCAAAGGAGACUGCCAGUGAUAAACUGGAGGAAGGUGGGGAUGACGUCAAGUCAUCGUGGCCCUUACGACCAGGGCUACACACGUGCUACAAUGGCGCAUACAAAGAGAAGCGACCUCGCGAGAGCAAGCGGACCUCAUAAAGUGCGUCGUAGUCCGGAUUGGAGUCUGCAACUCGACUCCAUGAAGUCGGAAUCGCUAGUAAUCGUGGAUCAGAAUGCCACGGUGAAUACGUUCCCGGGCCUUGUACACACCGCCCGUCACACCAUGGGAGUGGGUUGCAAAAGAAGUAGGUAGCUUAACCUUCGGGAGGGCGCUUACCACUUUGUGAUUCAUGACUGGGGUGAAGUCGGAACAAGGUAACCGUAGGGGAACCUGCGGUUG
rnacentral:rRNA from 1 species